rnacentral:lncRNA from 1 species
AAAUAGAGGUCAAAACAAAAGUCAACCAACCAAACUAGGUCAAAAAUAAAUCCAAAAUAAAUUGAAAAUGGGAAAUAAAAUUCCAAGAAAAGGUCAGGUUGACCAUGGAACAUUGGUCAACUUUCAUUCCAAAAAUCAAAAGCUAAAAACAAUUUUAAGUCAUAAAAAUAAAAUCAAGAAAAAAAUGUGUGUUAAAAUGGACGGUUUAGAAUAAAUAAUUAAAAUAAAAUAUU